rnacentral:tRNA from 1 species
GUUUAGAUAGUUUAAGAGUUGUAAAAUAUUAAUUUGUGGUAUUGAUGAUGUAAAAUGUAUUACUCUGGACC